rnacentral:rRNA from 1 species
UACGGGGGGGGCAAGCGUUGUUCGGAAUUACUGGGCGUAAAGGGCUCGUAGGCGGCCAACUAAGUCAGACGUGAAAUCCCUCGGCUUAACCGGGGAACUGCGUCUGAUACUGGAUGGCUUGAGAUUGGGAGAGGGAUGCGGAAUUCCAGGUGUAGCGGUGAAAUGCGUAGAUAUAGGAAGGAACACCAGUGGCGAAGGCGACCACCUGGACUGAUACUGACACUGAGGUGCGAAAGCGUGGGGAGCAAACAGG